AUGGCGCCCGGGCUGGGGCCGUGGCUCCUGGCCUUGUCCUUGGCCGCGGGGCCGGCAGGGGUGUGGGCGCAGCUGAGGCUGGAGGAGACCGGCGGAGGGCUGCGAGCGCCCGGGGACUCUGUGCUCCUCUCCUGCCGCGGAUCCAGCUUCGCCUUCGGGAGCUCUGCAGUUCGGUGGUACCGUCAGGCAUCCAGUGGGAGACCUGAGUGGGUGUCUUUCGUCAGCUACUGGGGUACAAAGAAGUACGGGGCAGCAGUGCAGGGUCGAGCCACAGCAUCCCGGGACAAUUCCCGGUCCAAGGCAUCUCUGUCCCUGCGUGCCCUGCAGCCCCGGGACUCUGCCUGCUACUUCUGCACCGUUGGCACGGGGACAGGAAAUUCCGCUGAGCUUUAACAGAAACCUGCUGGGGCCCAGAACAGGGUGUGAGAGCUGUAGGGCAGCUGAGUGCUGAGGCAUCCGUGGAC